GAUGAACGCUGGCGGCGUGCUUAACACAUGCAAGUCGAACGGAAAGGCCCAAGCUUGCUUGGGUACUCGAGUGGCGAACGGGUGAGUAACACGUGGGUGAUCUGCCCUGCACUUCGGGAUAAGCCUGGGAAACUGGGUCUAAUACCGGAUAGGACGAUAGUUUGGAUGCCAUUGUGGAAAGUUUUUUCGGUGUGGGAUGAGCUCGCGGCCUAUCAGCUUGUUGGUGGGGUAAUGGCCUACCAAGGCGUCGACGGGUAGCCGGCCUGAGAGGGUGUACGGCCACAUUGGGACUGAGAUACGGCCCAGACUCCUACGGGAUGCAGCAGUGGGGAAUAUUGCACAAUGGGCGCAAGCCUGAUGCAGCGACGCCGCGUGGGGGAUGACGGCCUUCGGGUUGUAAACUCCUUUCGCUAGGGACGAAGCGUUUUUGUGACGGUACCUGGAGAAGAAGCACCGGCUAACUACGUG
rnacentral:rRNA from 1 species